CGUGGCAAAGAUACUGCGAUGCGCCGCGUUACAUCGUAUCACAGUUCUUUGUCACCCU
rnacentral:pre_miRNA from 1 species